AUUGAACGCUGGCGGCAUGCCUUACACAUGCAAGUCGAACGGUAACAGGUCUUCGGAUGCUGACGAGUGGCGAACGGGUGAGUAAUACAUCGGAACGUGCCCGAUCGUGGGGGAUAACGAAGCGAAAGCUUUGCUAAUACCGCAUAAGAUCUAAGGAUGAAAGCAGGGGACCGCAAGGCCUUGCGCGAACGGAGCGGCCGAUGGCAGAUUAGGUAGUUGGUGGGAUAAAAGCUUACCAAGCCGACGAUCUGUAGCUGGUCUGAGAGGACGACCAGCCACACUGGGACUGAGACACGGCCCAGACUCCUACGGGAGGCAGCAGUGGGGAAUUUUGGACAAUGGGCGAAAGCCUGAUCCAGCCAUGCCGCGUGCAGGAUGAAGGCCUUCGGGUUGUAAACUGCUUUUGUACGGAACGAAAAGACUCCUUCUAAUAAAGAGGGUCCAUGACGGUACCGUAAGAAUAAGCACCGGCUAACUACGUGCCAGCUGCCGCGGUAA
rnacentral:rRNA from 1 species